rnacentral:tRNA from 1 species
AUUUAUAUAGUUUAAAAAAACAUUAUAUUUUCAGUAUAAAAUUAAAUAAUUUUUGUAAAUA